UACAGAGGGGGCAAGCGUUGUUCGGAAUUACUGGGCGUAAAGGGCGCGUAGGCGGCAAUUCAAGUCAGCUGUGAAAUCUCCGGGCUUAACUCGGAACGGUCAGCUGAUACUGCUUUGCUAGAGUGCAGAAGGGGCAAUCGGAAUUCUUGGUGUAGCGGUGAAAUGCGUAGAUAUCAAGAGGAACACCUGAGGUGAAGACGGGUUGCUGGGCUGACACUGACGCUGAGUGCGCGAAAGCUAGGGUAGCAAACGGG
rnacentral:rRNA from 1 species